AUGAACAAGGCCAUGAGGAAGGAGAGUGGUAAGAAGCUUGUGGGCAGGGCAGCAGCAAGGGCUCUCGUGUGGCUUCUGCUUCCUGUCCUUGUCUUCGUCGUGCUCAACUCCGAUCACAUGCCGCGGGUUCCUCAAUUACAUGCAACAACUCUUUAUCAUUCAUUUAAUUCAGAUUUGGUCGGCCAUGCACCGCCACCUUCUCCCGCAUCAAGCCAGCAGACGCCCGCCGAGGCCGUCGAUGCACCACCUUCUCCCGCAACAAGCGACCAGACGCCCGGCGCGGCCGUUGAUACACCACCUUCUCCGGCACCACGCGACGAGACGCCCGGCAACAUCGUCAGUGCGAACAAAAGCCAACAUAUAUAUGUGGCAGCACCAAGAAGCAAGUCAAUCUGCGACUUCAGCAGUGAACGCAUGGACAUAUGUGCCAUGCAAGGCGACGUCCGUAUGCAUGGCAAAUCCGCCACCGUCUACGUGGUCUCAGCAUCUGAUGACAGUUACCGGCCAGAGAAUGGAACAGUGAAGAUCCACCCGUACCCGCGCAAGUCGGAGGAAGGAACGAUGCGCGCUAUCCGGGAGGUGACCAUCCGCUGGAGCGGGCUGGAUGCGCCACGGUGCACGGUGACACACGACGUCCCUGCGGUGGUCUUCUCCACCGGCGGCUUCCUCAACAACUUUUUUCACGCCAUGACCGAUGGUCUCAUCCCUCUCUUCAACACUGUGCGGGAGUACGAUGGCCGCGUCCAGCUUGUGGUCACCGACUACAACCACAAGUGGGUUGACAAGUUCCAAGACAUCCUCGCCGCGCUCUCCAUGUACCCGGUCAUCGACUUUGACGCCGACGACAAGGUGCGUUGCUUCCCGUCGGUGCACGUCGGCACCGAGAGCCAUAAGGAGAUGGGGAUCAUCCCUGCUCUCUCCCGCAAGGGCUACACGAUGACGGACUUCCGGAACUUUCUCCGGUCGGUCUACUCGUUGAAGCGUGAGUGGGCGACCCCCGUAAACCAGACCUCCGGCGACAGGCCUCGUCUCCUCAUGGUGUUGCGCCGCAAGUCAAGGGCAUUCGCGAAUGAGGCGGAGGCCGUCACAGCUGCCACAGAUAUAGGUUUUGAGGUGGUGUUGGGGGCCCCGGAGGCCAUGAGCGACAUGGCCCGGUUCGCAGAGGUCGUGAACUCGUGCGACGUGAUGGUGGGCGUGCAUGGCGCAGGGCUCACCAACCUGGUGUUCCUCCCGCGUAAUGCAACGUUGGUGCAGGUCGUCCCGUGGGGCGACAUGAGUUGGGGGGCCAAUGCUGCCUUUGGUGCGCCGUCGGCUGACAUGGGGCUCCGGUACGUCCAAUACGAGACGACCCCGGAGGAGACGACGCUCAAGUACAAAUACCCGAGGGACCAUGCUGUCUUCACCGAUGUCGCCUCCAUAAAUAGGCAGGGGUAUGGUAUGACGUGGGCGAUCUUCCUCAACGGCCAGAAUAUCACCCUCGACAUCGACCGCUACAGAGGGGUGUUGCAGCAAAUCUACCAUGAUAGUGUAAUGGCCAAUCCUUCAUUUAACUAG
rnacentral:rRNA from 1 species